ACGGCGGUAGCGUACGGACUGUCCGCCAAAUAUAACCGGGAACGCGUGAAAACGCAUGCGCCACGGAUGACGAUAGAGACCUCUAAGCCGAGCUGAACCGAACCGAACCGAUCCGAUCCGAACAGACCCAUCGACGUGUUUAACAAGUUCACGGGCAUUUAUUGUACACUUUAUUCUAUUGUUCCAAGAAAAGUUGAUACUCUAUCAUUUAGAUUUUGAAAAUUAUAGAUUUAAACCGUUACACACGAUUUAUUUUCAAUGUUGUUGGAUGUAAACUUGUAUUUACUGUUAAGGAAAUGAAUUACAGUAAUUUGCAGCGGUAGAAUUCAACGUUUCUAUUUAGCUCUUUGAUUCUUAUGAUUAUAAAAUUUAAUUUGUAUAGUUUUUUAAAGUGCGGUACUUUUUGAAGUAACACGAAUCGAGUAUAAUAAAUUUGUAUUGUCAUCUCCGGCGUAACAUACGAGUGCAAAGGGUUAAAAGUAGACAGAUAGGAUAUAUUUUUGUAUAGUUGGAAACAUUACAACCGACUAAAACAUUUACUAGAUAAUGUUUGUAAAAUUCAGUGUCGAAUUCAUGCGUUCCGUAAACCUAGUGUUAACACGUUCACGCCAGUGAUGUUUUUUAAGUUACUUUCCAUGUGGUAACGAGAUUCUUAGAAUUGUUGAAAUUAUUGAAAUGAUCAAUGCCGUCUGAUGUGACAAAGUGUGAGGCACCUAAUGGAAUAUCAAAGUGUGAAUCAGUAAUGUGCAACUGAUGCAACACGGUGAACUCAAUGAAUCACAUCGUGUAUUAAAUACCAGAUGGAGAGAAGAAAAUAUCAAAUAAGUGAAGACUCUACAGGAGUAACCAGAACAGUUCACUGAUGCUCUAAUGUUUUGAAAUUUUUAAAACAAAUCGAAAUACUAUAUUUAACCAGUUAACUGCGUUCGACGAGUAUACAUGUCACCUUAACCACUUGUUGCGGCAACGAAUUCAGAGAGUCGGCAGCAUCUCACGCGAAGAAUUUUAUCUUCGUCUAUUAUAUACGGAUAUGUACACUAACUUUGUUUAUUAAUAACUCUGUGCAAAGUGGUAGAUUUCAAAACAAUCUGGAGUUUGUAAUCCAAUAAGACUAUCGACGUGUAUAAUACGUGCACAAUGAGAGAUUUUUCGAACUAAAUUCCACGGUUAACUGGUUAAUUUUAUGAGUCAUACAACGUUGGAAAUUGUUUGAAAAAGUAC